rnacentral:rRNA from 1 species
UACGUAGGGUGCAAGCGUUAAUCGGAAUUACUGGGCGUAAAGCGUGCGCAGGCGGUGAUGUAAGACAGAUGUGAAAUCCCCCGGCUCAACCGGGGAACUGCGUCCGAUACUGGUGGGCUCGAAUCCGGGAGAGGGAUGUGGAAUUCCAGGUGUAGCGGUGAAAUGCGUAGAUAUCAGGAGGAACACCGGUGGCGGAAGGCGGUUCUCUGGGCAUUACCUGACGCUGAGGAGCGAAAGUGUGGGGAGCGAACAGG